CUCUCUGUCCAUGGUGACGAACUGCGAGAUCUGGGCAUGAUCUGCUCCAUGGUCCGCUCCAUGGGUGUGAUCCACUACCUUUUGAUGAGGACGAAUAACGCACGGUGACCGGAGGCGGCUCCACGGCGUUCCUAUGUCCACCCAUCUCCUCCGCUUUAGAGAUUGCGAAGGCGGCGACAGCUAUGGCGCCGGAGGGACGACCUGGAGGUGCAGGCUACUCCCCUAUCUUCUGUCAUGCGGUGGUGAGCCGGAGGCGGCGCGGGCGGGGCAAUGGUCCUGCCCGAGCUCUCCAGGGACAACGGCCUUCUCCGGUGUCCCUCUCCAUGGCGGUUGUUCUUCUCGCUGGUGAUAUCUCCUUCAUCCUCUUAUUUCCUUCUUCUCCUCCAUGAAUUUCUAAAUUUCUAGGGUUAGGGUUCUUUGUUUUUGGGAGCGGUGCAGGAGAAGGGAGUGAUGCUGAGUUUGGCACCCUGCCAUGGAAUCAAUUCAGGCGCUGAUGGAGCUCAUACAGAAGAAGAAGAUGAGCUCAAGUCUGCGGAUGAGGAAUCAUGUUAGAGUAUCUUCUUUGUUCUAGCCAAAGGGCAAGAGUUAAAUUUUGUUGGAGGGUGCUUAAUCAGCCAUUCCCUUUCUUAGUGGAGGUUCCUUAUUUUAAUAAGGUAAGAACUCCUAUUCCAUUGUGCUUAAGGCUAAUGAUGAAUGAUUGUAUAAUAGCUAGUUUUCUUAUGUGGGUGCUUGGAAACAUUACGUUGGUGGGCACUGAGCCACUGGACCCUCACCCGGCCUGUCAACAUUCACGGAAGUUGCAAAUUCGGGGAGGGACGUGGCCUGACUUGAUGGCGAACGAGGACGCUACGGGUGGAGAUACUUGGUCAUUAAUUAAGCAAGAUUAAGAAUCUUGGCGUCGCUCUACUCUGGAUUUUUGCACCCAGUGAAAAGAUAGAAAACAUCAAUGAUCAAUACUGGACACUACGUGCAGAGGAGGUAUGUGAUGAUAUGCCAUGCUUUACAGUAUUUACAAACAAAACUACGUACAAAACUUAAUUUCCUGAUCCCGCAGGAAGGUUUAUCUAGGCUUUAGUUUGAUCCUACACAGGGUCCUGAUUAUCAUUGCCUUUUUUGGGUCCCUUGAUAGGCAGUGCCGACGACUGUACUAUUUGUCCCACAUGACAAGAUAUGAGCCUGACCCAUAGUAAUCUUUUUUUCCUCAGAAAUUAGUACAAUUAUCUUGCAGAAU